UUAAGUUCAGCGGGUAUCCCUACCUGAUCCGAGGCCAACCACAGAAUUGGGGGGGGGCUGGCAGGCCACCGCAGGACCCUAGAGCGAGAGCUGUACUACGCUUAGGGCCAGGCGCGCCGCCACUAUCUUUAGGGCCGGCCGGACAGGCUAGGCCCAACACCAAGCCAGGCUUGAGGGUUGAAAUGACGCUCGAACAGGCA
rnacentral:misc_RNA from 1 species